AGGCUGAAUCUGUUCUUCCCCCAGAUCCAGAUGGGUUUUGUUUGGCCCAUGCAGUAUUUUAAAUAACAUUGACUUAGUUGCCAACAUCUUAAAAUUGGGAAAUUUCACAUAAAAAUUGGAAUUUGGGGCUUAUGUUGAAAAAUCAUUAGCUCUGACAAAGCUGGCACCAAUUUCCUGUGUGGUAACAGUCAGCUGGCAGCAGCGCUGAGCAGCGGUUGGCCACUUUCUGUGGGGUCUACACCUUCAGUUCACCACCAGCCCAGUCCUCUCGUCUGUGUUAUCUCCUCCCUGCGGUGCAUGCCUUUGGGUCCCCACACCUGUAGGGUCCCUCUGACUCUAGAAUUGUAGUUAUUUUGGCUCACUGAUGUGUGAGAUGCCUGGGCCUAGUGUCCAAGAACUGUUCUCCUUGAGUUAAUGGAAGUGCUGGACUAUGCUACUGGCUGUUGCCCAGAAGGACUCGUGGUGCCUGCGUGCGAAGGGCCAUGGCUCUUCUGUGGACCCACAACUUCACAGAAAUUUCAUGAGAGCCGACUUCUCUCAUCUGCCUUAGACAGAUCCUGUAAGUUUUGUAGGUUUGUGUGUGAUGAUGGAUAAGAGACUUGGUGAAAGAGCUUUUGACAUUCCUGCCAUCACCUCCAGAAAGUGCGAGUAGAGCACUAGAGCGUUUUUCAGAAGACUCGAAGAAAAUACCCUUUCAUUCAGGAUCAAGCUUGCUAUUUAAGUGCCUUCAACCAACUCAACAGGAAAACAAGAGACAGCCAAAAAAAAUCACACUUCACUUUCUAGAAUGUUGAUAGCUUUACCAUAAUCCACUCAUGUGUUCACUGAUCUAAAGACAAAGAACUCGCUCGUACCAGAGGUUGGGUUUACUUACCCUGUAUGUCUGGACAUGAAUGGCCUCCCCUCUCUAAGUGUCCAGCUGUUUGGCACUGAGGAGACAGGCUGUUCGGAUCACUGAUGCAAUUGUGGAACCCAGUGGCCUGAAGCCGGUCAGUGAAGAGGCUGCUCGGAUCCCCGGGCCUCACAGGCCACAGGAAGCCAGCGAGGGCGGGGCUCCGAGCCUGUUUAAGGCCAGGUCCCUGCGGAGCGCAGCCUCCUACAUACCAGGUAGCACCAGGUAGUUUUCCACCACAAAUUUGCUCCAGAAUCACCUAGAAGCUCUGGAAAUGCAAAUCCACUGAGUCAGAGCGCUGGAAUUGAGCCGCAGACUGCAAUUUUAACAAGCACUGCAGGUGACUUUGAGCUUAAGAACCACCAGUCUCACACGUGGACUUUAAAAACUCACGUGGAGAAUAUUUCUCAUUCCUCAGUUUAAAACAUUCUUUAAUAGUAUCUCCGCUUAGAGCGGAGAAGUUCCAGGAAACAGAAUGCCAAGCCCUGGAGGGGACAGGAUAUGGGCUUCAGAAUCAUCACGUGCUGUCUCCUACCACGCUCAGGUCAGGUGAGAGGGGCCUCGUUACCUGGGACCUGCUGUGAGGCAGCGGCUGUGACUAGCUCUCCAGGUCCUUCCAGUUAAGCUUGAACUGUGUUUUUUAGAGGCUUGAGCUGAACGCCCCUUGGUUCCAGGUGGAACACAUUUUCACUUAAAACCAUCAAAUGUUGGCUCUGAAGGGAAUUGAGAGAUCUAGUCCAGAGCCCCCAUUUUUAUAAAGGAGGAGUUACUGGUUAGAAGCAGACAAUAAUGCUACGAUGAUAAAUUCCUGAAUUUAUAUUCAAGGAGCUUCAUGGAGAGAGGGAGUUAGGAGGAGAGCAAUCAAGUAGGAACUAAAUCAUCCUCUCCAAAUUCAGAGAGGCCUCCAGUUUCCUGACAAUCCUUUCAAGGGGAGUGCAUGCCAGGCGGGGACUCUCAAAUUCCCCAGCGUCGCCAGGCUUCCCUGUCGGCUCAGAGAGGACAGCUUGCCCUGCCGGCCCUGGCUGAGCAGGCUCUUCCACCCAGAAACACACCAACCCCUAACGUGGCCUGGUCCGUGGUCUGGUUUGUUCCCUACAUGGUGUCAGUUCUGUACCAAGUUUUGCUCUGGGCCCUGGUAUAUAUCAUUAACAGGAGAGGUGGGAGCUACUCUCACGGAGCUCACUGUCUCAUUACAAACUCAUUAAAUUCUGUUUCUGUGUUUUAACUGUCCAGUUUCUGCUUUGAGAGAAAAUUUUGGUGCUUUGUUUUUGAUAAAGAAUAAUUCACUCACUCCUUCAUUUUCUCUUUCCACAAUAUUCAUAGGAAACCGCACCAUCAGGCAUGUAAUACACCCUGUGGGCCAAGCAUUACUUUAGGUGCUGGGGAGUCAGCAGUAAAUGAGGGAAACGUGGCCCCCUCUCAAGGAGUUUUCAAUCAAGUGUAGAGAGGCAGGAAAUCGAUAAAGAACAAGGCAAUUACUGUGGUGAGUGCAAGGGUGAUAUGACAGAGUGGCUAGGAGUGGGAGUGAAGAAAGCCUUCUCUGAAAGGGUUACAUUUGACUUGAGAUUUGAAUGAUACAAGAAGCCUGUUGAGAGAAGGAGGGCAGGGAACAGCAUGUGCAAAGGCCCUGAGCCAGAAGUGAAUUUGGUGCUGUUCCGGGAACAGAGAGGAGGUCAGGGUGGAGAAGUAGGGAGGGACUGGAUCACAGACAGCCUUGCAGGUGGUGGAUGGGGUUUUAAGCUAUGGAGAAACUUGAUCUGAUUAACAUUUUUAAAGCUCCUCCGGUUGCGUUGAGGAGAGUGGAUGUGGUGAGGGGAGAACAAAGCAGGAACACCCACUACAAGGCUAUUGCAGUCUUUCAGAAUGUUUGCACAGGCCCAGUGCCAACGGUGCCGCAGAGCCCGGUGACGGCAUGGAGAGAUCAAGGAGCGUCCCGCCCAGCACACCGCAGGGACCAGCGGGCGAAACCCAAGGCCAGAGUGUGCAGUGACCCUGCCUGAUCUCUGACCCAGCUGUUUGCAGCCUCCUGCCAGAGAGCUUGUUUUGGGCACAGCGUGGACAUAAGCAGGGGAGAAGGAGAAGGAUGUCCGCCCUUCAUUCGACCCUCUGGCCUCUGUUACAGUCAUGCUCGGCUGAGAAAGACACAAAACCGUCAUUUGGACAUUUUAUUUCCACAGUAACAAAUAGAAGAUACUUCCAGGUGAUUGUUAACAUGGAGACAACAUGUCCAGACUGUUGUCUGACUUUCAAUUUUCAUCUCAAGUUUUUAGAGUUGGGUAGACAUGGCUAUAGCUUUGGUUCAACUGUUUCCUCUCCUCCUCCUCUUCUUGCAUCUCCUCCUCCCUUCUUGUGUUCUGCGCAAGCAUAAAACCAAAACAUACUACAUGCUCGGUUGUAAAAUAAACAGAUGAUAAAUAGCAGUCUCUGUGACUGUUGGGUUAUAAUUCCAUCGAGGGCCUGGGUUGGAGUCAUAAACCAUAAGAAGUGAAG
rnacentral:lncRNA from 1 species